rnacentral:rRNA from 1 species
GACGAACGCUGGCGGCGUGCCUAAUACAUGCAAGUCGAGCGAAGUUUUUCUGGUGCUUGCACCGGAAAAACUUAGCGGCGAACGUGUGAGUAACACGUAAAGAACCUGCCUCAUAGACUGGGACAACUAUUGGAAACGAUAUCUAAUCCCGGAUAAUAGCAUUAACUGCAUGGUUGAUGUUUAAAAGUUUGUUUUGCUAACACUAUGAGAUGUCUUUGCGGUGCAUUAGCUAGUUGGUGGGGUAAAGGCCUACCAAGGCGACGAUGCAUAGCCGACCUGAGAGGGUGAUCGGCCACACUGGGACUGAGACACGGCCCAGACUCCUACGGGAGGCAGCAGUAGGGAAUCUUCCGCAAUGGGCGAAAGCCUGACGGAGCAACGCCGCGUGAGUGAAGAAGGAUUUCGGUUCGUAAAGCUCUGUUGUUAGGGAAGAAUGAUUGUGUAGUAAAUAUACACAGUAGAGACGGUACCUAACCAGAAAGCCACGGCUAACUACGUG